rnacentral:rRNA from 1 species
AGAGGGUGCGAGCGUUAAUCGGAAUUACUGGGCGUAAAGCGCACGUAGGUGGAUAUUUAAGUCGGAUGUGAAAUUCCUGGGCUCAACCUGGGCAUGUCAUUCGAAACUGGAUAACUAGAGUAUAGUAGAGGGAAGUGGAAUUUCCGGUGUAGCGGUGAAAUGCGUAGAUAUCGGAAGGAACACCAGUGGCGAAGGCGGCUUCCUGGACUAAUACUGACACUGAGGAGCGAAAGCGUGGGGAGCAAACAGGGAUUAGAUACCCUGGUAGUCCACGCUGUAAACGAUGAGAACUAGCCCGUUGGGAAGUUAAACUUUUUAGUGGCGCAGCUAACGCGAUAAGUUCUCCGCCUGGGGGAGUACGGCCGCAAGGCU